CAAGUCAAUGCAGAUAGCAAUCGAAACUAUAUUUGAUUAACUUUAUUCUUAACGAAGCUCCAGACCAUGCAAGAAAGGUCCUUUGUUCACUUCAUUUUACUAUGGAUUCGUUUAUAAACAAGACACAAUUUGACAGAAUUUUCAGAAGGUUGAAACUAAAAGACUAUGCUGUGCAGACUAAAUUAAAUACAACAGUAAUGUCACAACACACAAGUGGAAUUUGGUUCAACAGUGAGUCUUUGCUGAAAGCCUAAAGGCUUACUGAAGCCUGAAAGUUGGAAUCUGCAGCCCUUAAUGAACACAACCUCUGUCUAUGGUGAUGUUUGGUGAAAUAUCUUGCCAGGGUGACUUGGCACUUGGACAGAGGGUGGGAUUGUGUUUCCUAUCCCUUAUCCUUUUGCCUGAAUGAUUGGGAAGAGAGGAGUUAUAAGCGCCCAGCAGACCGAGCUGAGCAGAGCAUAUACGUGUGAUGGCAGAGAGCGGAGCCGCAGUUUACUUCUGUUUAUCCUGUUUUAUUUUGAGUUAAUAAAGAGCCUUUUUC